UACGUAGGGUCCGAGCGUUGUCCGGAAUUAUUGGGCGUAAAGGGCUCGUAGGCGGUUUGUUGCGUCGGGAGUGAAAACCAGGUGCUUAACACCUGGCCUGCUUUCGAUACGGGCAGACUAGAGGCAUUCAGGGGAGAACGGAAUUCCUGGUGUAGCGGUGAAAUGCGUAGAUAUCAAGAGGAACACCUGCGGCGAAGGCGGGUUGCUGGGCCGACACUGACGCUGAGGCGCGAAAGCCAGGGGAGCGAACGGG
rnacentral:rRNA from 1 species